AAGCUUGCUUGUUGGGGUUGUAGGACACUCUAUACGGAGUUACAAAGGACGACAUUAGACGAAUCAUCUGGAAAGAUGAAUCAAAGAAGGUAAUAAUCCUGUAGUCGAAAAUGUUGUCUCUCUUGAGUGGAUCCUGAGUACGACGGAGCACGUGAAAUUCCGUCGGAAUCUGGGAGGACCAUCUCCUAAGGCUAAAUACUCUCUAGUGACCGAUAGUGAACCAGUACCGUGAGGGAAAGGUGAAAAGCACCCCGGAAGGGGAGUGAAAUAGAACCUGAAACCGUGUGCUUACAAGUAGUCAGAGCCCGUUAAUGGGUGAUGGCGUGCCUUUUGUAGAAUGAACCGGCGAGUU
rnacentral:rRNA from 1 species